AGCAACGCCGCGUGAGUGAAGAAGGGUUUCGGCUCGUAAAGCUCUGUUGGUAGUGAAGAAAGAUAGAGGUAGUAACUGGCCUUUAUUUGACGGUAAUUACUUAGAAAGUCACGGCUAACUACGUGCCAGCAGCCGCGGUAAUACGUAGGUGGCAAGCGUUGUCCGGAUUUAUUGGGCGUAAAGCGAGUGCAGGCGGUUCAAUAAGUCUGAUGUGAAAGCCUUCGGCUCAACCGGAGAAUUGCAUCAGAAACUGUUGAACUUGAGUGCAGAAGAGGAGAGUGGAACUCCAUGUGUAGCGGUGGAAUGCGUAGAUAUAUGGAAGAACACCAGUGGCGAAGGCGGCUCUCUGGUCUGCAACUGACGCUGAGGCUCGAAAGCAUGGGUAGCGAACAGGAUUAGAUACCCUGGUAGUCCAUGCCGUAAACGAUGAGUGCUAAGUGUUGGGAGGUUUCCGCCUCUCAGUGCUGCAGCUAACGCAUUAAGCACUCCGCCUGGGGAGUACGACCGCAAGGUUGAAACUCAAAGGAAUUGACGGGGGCCCGCACAAGCGGUGGAGCAUGUGGUUUAAUUCGAAGCAACGCGAAGAGCCUUACCAGGUCUUGACAUCCAGUGCAAACCUAAGAGAUUAGGUGUUCCCUUCGGGGACGCUGAGACAGGUGGUGCAUGGCUGUCGUCAGCUCGUGUCGUG
rnacentral:rRNA from 1 species